UAUUUUUUCGUGUGAGGGAGGAAUGAGUCAUUUGAAGAACAUUUAGUAAUUUUUCUGAAAAUUAAGAGAGAGCUCUGUAUUUUACAAAUAUAGAUAAAUACAUAUAUUCAAAUCGUCCUUUCAAUCAUGUUAACACAAUAAAUGCAUACAUUAAAAAUUGUAUAAUUGAUGCUGCUAUAAGAACAAAGUAUAAUGAUACUGUCUAUUUAAUAUAAUCAACGUAGGUACUCUGCAAGUAUGUAAAAUUAUUUAAUGUUUGUUUUUUUUUAAAUCAUCUUGAACACUUUAGGACACAGUUUCGGAAACGCUGCUCUAAGAACCAUCGGGAGACAUUCGCUGCCGAGCAGGCACCAGACCGCACCGUUAUUACUAGCGAUAAAUCGCCACCUUUAAUAAGAGCUCGCAUGACGUUCCAGACGGAAGCCAGAGACGCCGGGCGUCGCAGCCAGCGUCAACGACGUCGACGAAAGAAUCGUAAUAUCGAGCGCCGAGGCGAAUACGACGAAUCGAAGGCAGUUCGUUUUAGAAUGUAUUUCGAGCUCAUGCUUAAUAUUAAUGAUGCUGAAUAUUCUUAUGGAUACAGAAUUUUUCGAGGCGAAAUAUUUCUUCUGUUCCGAAAAUAAAUCUUUGACGUCGUUUAACGAGCAGAAUGAAAUUUGGUACGUCAGAAUCGUUCACAGUGAAAGACGCUAUCAAGUCAUUAGACAGAUUUAAUAGCACAGAAAGGGGUUAUCGAUUUCCGUGCUCGUGCAAAGACAAAUCGAGGUCAGCGCUAUCAAAGGGUGAAUUGGAUGUGUAGGAUAACUGGAAAUGCAACUGCUAACAGUCCGACUAACGCCAACCUUAAAGCUUUUAUGCCGCAAAUCCCUUUUAGCCGUUAGACUGCGCUAUUAAGGUCUCGACAUGCCACGUGUCUGCACUUGAACGUACGUCCCGCGCACGUGUACCCGUUCAAUUACAGAAUGGCUUGUAUUCAGGUGUAAAUACAUUCACGGUCUGUAUUCGCUACGCCCAUUCAACGUGUCACGGAUGGGAACAGUCGAGUCGCAAAUUAUUAGCCCACCCACACAUUUUAUUAAAUGCUUUCAACUUGUAACUUGAGUUCGGAAUUGAAUACCCAAUCGGAUUCAAUUUUACCACAGGAAACUCUAGGAUUCUGUUUCAUAAUAAAAUAAAUACACCUAUCAGUAAAAUCGUUGUUGGAGGUUAAAUUGUGAUCAUGUGUACCUUCGGUUAAAAUUAAAAAAUUCUAAAAGAUUCUAAAUUCCCUUCGUUACCAGUCGAUUAAAAUCGUGUCAAUAAAUCCUAUCAAUAAAACUGUGAUUUUACAUUCGAUUGUAAUCAUUAUACCUUCAUCUAAAAUUUAAAAAAAAAAAUUCUAUCUAGCAGAAAAAUAACAGAAAAAUUUUAACAAAUCCUAAGCAGUCGAUUAAAAUUUCUUGUAUUGCCAGUCGAUUAAAAUUUCUCUUCCACCGAACAUCCAACGGUUAAACAAUGAAUGUUUCGAUAAAGUUGCAAUCUACCAGAAUUAGAGCAUCGUUAACGUCCCGUUGCGUGAACUGGGUCGUCCAGAGGAGUCCCCGAGAAUUGUCAAAGUAUUUCCUCGCGAUUCUAAGAGUGGAAAAGGAGGAGGGAGAACGGAGAACGAGAAAAGGCGUGCAGAAGGUCGUCUCGGUUCUCGGCAUUCCACCGAGUCCGGCGAAGAAUUUGAUAUGCCAGGGUUGACGACGCGAUCCUGGCAGAAGCGGAACCAGGAAUCUGGAAACUCGGUCACCUCAUUUCCAAUUGACCGACUCGGUCCCCCGCAGCCCCUUGACAGACCAGCACGCGAUCUUCCAAUGGAUUAAUUGUCCCUAAGUUUAAUAUUUUAACCGAUAAUGUCGCGCACCUGACCAUUAUGGGAUCUAGCUACGUCCUAUGCGUUCAGUUAAGCUUGGAUCGAACUAUCGACUUUGGAUUGCAGGAUGGAUUGAUGUAAGUUGUAAAAAGCAUGGGGCCUGGAUCAGCUUAUAUGGACAGGUGAUAGUCGGAGGACUGGUUGGAGAACUGUAGGUUUAUUCCUGGCUGAGGUACUGUCAUCUACUGUCAUUUGCUGGGAAUAUUAGAAAAAGGUACACCAUGGGAAAAAGAUGACCUGUAAUAGAAUGAACGACACAUUCUAUGACUUACACUGAGUCUAACAGGUUGUUGGGUGUUGUUUUCGUUUGGAGUGACAGUCGGAGGUAAUGAUAAUGGAAAACACUGACAAGGGUAGCCUCUGGUUUUGCUGAAACUUUAAUGAAAACUGCACUAUGCUUAAAGGCCUUUAAUCAACAAUUUACACGUGAAAAGAUUCCUACAGCUUGAGAAUCCACCAAGAAAAAUAUUGUUCCGACCCAGACAGCCCCCUAACCAGCCCUUUGUGCAGCGCGUUACACCAUUGGGAACGUGUUGUCAGCCGAAAACAGUCUGCACGCCUUCGAACACUGUUCGGGGUCCCAGCCUUACCGUAAAAGCAUUCACCCCUGUCGGUGAUUUCGCAUACGCGACGAGGGUUCCACCGGAGGGCUCGUUUAAUCGGCGGUCGUUGUUGCUGCAUCGGAUUUUGAUUAGCGCGGCCACGCCACGUUCGUUCGUUCGUUUGUUGACGGAUGAAAAAAUGCGUGACACGCGUAGCUGUGUGCGUGCGUAAUCUUACUGGACGUACGUCAAACGUAAAAUAUGCGUGCGCGGCGCGUUUGGUAUGUAGGGGAGAGGUUUUUGCUAUGUUUUACGCAUACGCGGCAUAUGUCCACGACGAUUGGACCGAGUCGAUUUUUGGCGCUGAAUUUUAGGCCAGUAUUAUUUUGAUGAUUUAUUUCACAUCCUUAUUGCAUACAGUUUAUGGUAUUAAAGAACGUUAGCCUUAUCAUCUGGCGCUGGAAAUUAUUUUAUAUAGUUUUGCAUGUAUUAAUUAUACGUUUUAUUUUUUAUCAUUUGUAAUAUGGUGUACAAGGUUCUGAAAUUUAAAAAAGAAAAUGGACGAAGUUCCUGUAAAUAGCAAACGAAACUCGAAAUGUCAUUCUUCAUGCAUCGUGUAACCUAUCGUAAAAUUGUUUAUGUCUCAGGUUCGCCGUUGAAAAGAUCGAUCACAGACGUAAACGUAAUCGCAAGUAACGCGCGAAGUUAGGCCGUCCCCGCGUGUCGAAUGAAAAUAUGUCACUGGCAGUCGGUGGCAGCCGAAAUCCGGAUGCGGUAGCGUUCUCAUCAGCAUGCGAAAACUUUGUUAUUUGUUUGAACACGUUCAAUUAUGCAUGCGCAAUAUGCUGACAGUUUUCAAGGGUGCAGGGUAGGAGUGUUUGAAAGGGUGGUCAAGGGAGGGGUGCGCCGUAUUACGUCGGAGAAGAGGAAACGGCAAUCCCAUUGAAAGGGUGCGUUUUCGUUCGAAUGUAAUUGAAAUAAUAAUAAAGCGUGAACGUGCGGCAAUGAACGCGUCUGUGGACACUCGUGGCUUUUCACCUUCGAUAUUCUUCAAGGUGCGGACGAUGACAGAGGUAUAAUGAAAUUAUGAAAAGCUCUCGAAAUUGUAACAGUGGAAUAGUUUUUGAUUGCUCUGAAGUUGUCGAACGUUCAAUUUGUGUUAUUAGGAGAUCGUGACGAGCGUUCUAUGAAUGAUUAAUGAUUUUUAAAACGAAUUUUAAACAGUAAUGAACAUUUGUAAGGAAGAAUAGACUCAGGUGUGAACAUCCCAGCUCCCAAGUCGAGUGGUUCGAGUAAUAAUUCAUCCUGGCACUUGGCACGUGUAAACGGCGCGAUCGAUAAGUUAACGCAACGUUUCAAAGUGCAGUUACCUAGGAGGAAAUUACCCUUAACCUGUAAAGCACUCGCCACCGCUCAAAAAGGAUUUAAAUUUCACGUCUGGUCUCAUCCUUCGAACGAUCCAAUCUGGCCGUGCCGAGCACGCGAGAAAAGCUGAAUUUUACGAAGCAUAAUUACAGGGACGCGAGUAUCCGGCUAUUUUUUCCGGCCAGCAGGAGUGAACUUCCGGUCGAGUGAUGCGAUAACCGUUUACAGGAGUUGCGUAAUCGCUGGAGAGUCCCUCUUGUUCUUUUUCCAGCCAUCAGACCGCGGGAAAAACUUAUGGGGUGUACAGGGAAAAUGAUCGACCAACCACGAACGCAUUCCGUUACAUAAUUGAACGAUCAAGGGUGAAAUUUAAUUAAUAACGUGAAAUACGUGGGAAAAUAUGCAAUUUGGUCGGUGGCGUUACUACCGCUGAAAGUUCACGUGGGCUCGAAUUUUCGAAUGGCAACAGGAUUUAAAAUUUUUCGUCGAAUCCACUGUUAAAAUAACUGCAAUAAUUAACAUUCUUAAAUCUAAAGGUUUUUUUUUUAUAAAGAGCUUCAGGAUUUUUACACGAAUUUUCAUGAUGAUUUCUAGUCGAUUGA